AGCAGUAGCCACGGGAAUACGAAGGGUGCAAGCGUUAAUCGGAAUUACUGGGCGUAAAGCGUGCGUAGGCGGUUUGUUAAGUCUGUUGUGAAAUCCCCGGGCUCAACCUGGGAAUGGCAAUGGAUACUGGCAAGCUAGAGUGUGUCAGAGGAUGGUGGAAUUCCCGGUGUAGAGGUGAAAUUCGUAGAUAUUGGGAAGAACACCGGUGGCGAAGGCGGCAACCUGGCUCAUUACUGACGCUGAGGCGCGAAAGCGUGGGGAGCAAACAGGAUUAGAUACCCCAGUAGUCCCUGUCUCUUAUAC
rnacentral:rRNA from 1 species